rnacentral:rRNA from 1 species
GAUGAACGCUGGCGGCGUGCUUAACACAUGCAAGUCGAACGGAAAGGCUCCUGCUUGCAGGGGUACUCGAGUGGCGAACGGGUGAGUAACACGUGGGUGAUCUGCCCUGCACUUCGGGAUAAGCCUGGGAAACUGGGGCUAAUACCGGAUAGGACCACAUUUUGGAUGGUGUGGUGGAAAGUUUUUCGGUGUGGGAUGAGCUCGCGGCCUAUCAGCUUGUUGAUGGGGUAAUGGCCUACCAAGGCGUCGACGGGUAGCCGGCAUGAGAGAGUGUACGGUCAGACCGUGAACAUACAACGCACCAUUAUCCUACGCAAGGCAGUAGAGGCGAAUAGAGAGCAUAGCGCGCAAGAGUGAGGUACGGAUGCCCCGCUGGUGAUGAAAGCCUUGCAUUGGUAAUCGCCAAAGGGUAGGAAUGCAACGAUUUUCUGACGGUACUUUAAGAAGAAGCACCGGCUAACUACGUG